ACUGUGAUGGCCCCAAAAUGUUAUUUACUAAUGUGAAAUUUCAAAAAAAGACACAAAACUAGAGAGAACAGUAUACUGAACCCUCAUUAUGCUCCUCACCCAACUUAAACAACUAUUAGUAUUUGGCCAUUUUGUUGCAUUUCUACCUCCCUAUUCCCCCCCUCCCCAUCCCUGAAACUGGGUUACUUAAGAAACAAAUCUUGGGCACAGUACCAUUCAAUCCACAAAUACUUCAGUAGGUAUCUUUAAAAGGUAAAAUCUCUUAAAAAUAUAUAUGUGUGUAUAACAUCACAAUACUGUUACCACACCUAAAACAUUAAUAAUUAUUAUCACCACCUCAAAGACAUUAGGAUGGCUACUACGCAAAACAAAACAAAAAAACAAAAAAGCCCACCAAAUGUUGGAGGGGGCUGCGGAGAAACUGGAACCCUUAUGCACUGUUGAUGGGCAUGAAAUGGUGCAUCUGCUGUGGAAAACAAUAUGGUGGUUCCUCAAAAAAUAAAAACACAGAUUUCCAUUUAAUUCAGCAAUAUUGUUUCUAAAAGAAUUCAUUUCCAAAAGCAC